GACGAACGCUGGCGGCGUGCCUAAUACAUGCAAGUAGAACGCUGAAGGAGGAGCUUGCUUCUCUGGAUGAGUUGCGAACGGGUGAGUAACGCGUAGGUAACCUGCCUGGUAGCGGGGGAUAACUAUUGGAAACGAUAGCUAAUACCGCAUAAGAGUAGAUGUUGCAUGACAUUUGCUUAAAAGGUGCAAUUGCAUCACUACCAGAUGGACCUGCGUUGUAUUAGCUAGUUGGUGAGGUAACGGCUCACCAAGGCAACGAUACAUAGCCGACCUGAGAGGGUGAUCGGCCACACUGGGACUGAGACACGGCCCAGACUCCUACGGGAGGCAGCAGUAGGGAAUCUUCGGCAAUGGACGGAAGUCUGACCGAGCAACGCCGCGUGAGUGAAGAAGGUUUUCGGAUCGUAAAGCUCUGUUGUAAGAGAAGAACGAGUGUGAGAGUGGAAAGUUCACACUGUGACGGUAUCUUACCAGAAAGGGACGGCUAACUACGUGC
rnacentral:rRNA from 1 species